GUUAGCCUGACAAGCCAGACCCCCAUCAAGAUGUUGGGUCUGGGAACUCACCAUUGGCAGGGCUCAAUCCGAGGGGCGGGAUAAACGGUUGUCGUUCAAAUUCCUUCUGCACGCAAUAGGAAACUACUACAACCAACCAGAGCAAAGAAGAA